UAUAUAUAUAUAUAUAUAUAUAUAUAUACACACACAUCUCUAUCUAUCUGUGUGGAGGAGUUUCCAUUUGUUGCGGCGGUCUCUAAUUCGCUUGGUGCAGGUCGGGAACUGACUCACCGGUGACGCUGUCCGCGCCGGAAUCGGUGGCGUUAGUUUCGUUGAUAUUUUGUUUGCAUUUAUCGAUAUUUAGAGAGCUCUCUUUAGGACUUAUUUGUUAGUAAUUUGUUUUGUUGAAAUUAACUUGAUGUAUGUGUAGAUAAGUAGAGAGUGUUUACCCCCGGUUGGUUAAGUAAUAGAUAUGAAGAGAGUUCAUUUUUUUUUUUGUUUUUAAUAAAUUAGUUAUGUAUGAAAGUGCGCCUCGUCUAUGGCUUAAGUUUGUUCCCGCCUUGCAUCAACUGAAUCGGUGACCGCGGUGAAUUUGAUUAUGUUUGGAUCGAUCUAUUCUCUCGCUACAUGAGGUUUGUUUUUCAUUCAUUUUGAUUCAAAUAUUUGCAUAUAUUUUUAUCUGUAUCGUGUGCGUGUGUUUGUUUUUUCACUCUUCUCUCUUUAUUUUUUUUAAUAUUUCUGUUGUGUAACUGAUUGGAUUUAUCUGGAUCUAGCUGUAUCUAUUGCUGUGUGCAGGCUCGUGAUCCCAGCUGUGUUUAUUUGUCCUUCGGAUGAUCGAAGAGUUUGGCUGUGCUUGUAUAAUAAAUGUGCAAUUUUUUUUCUUCUUCCGUUUUAAUGCAAUUUUUGAAUUGAUGAAAUUUCAUUAAAAAUAAGAGUUGCGGGGAACAGACAUAAUGAUUUAAAAAUCCUCCUGUUGAGAUUGCCACCAUGGAUUAAUCGUGCAAUUUUGAUGUGUAAGAGGAGGUUGUGCUUCAAUAGCGAAUGUUCAAAGUGAACAAUUUUAGUCAUGUUGACGAAUCAUAGAUUUGAGUUAUGGAUUAAUGUUGGAAUAUCACGUGUUUUCAAAUGAAGAAAAGUGACUCUUGAAUUGUCAUUGACGAAUUAGAGAAUUUCUAUUUUUAUUUAUAUUUAUCUGGAUUUAAGAGAUACUAGUGCUGAAUGAUGGAUAUUUAAGUUUGAAAUUUUGUAUUUUCUUUAUGCCAUUGAUAAAUCGUAAAUUGGAGUUUGAACACCAUAAGUUUUCUUGUUCCAUCUGUUUCAAAUGACACCUGACACAGCAUUAAUGUAGCUUCUGGCCUAUUAAUACAGUAAUCUAGAUAAGAUAUGAAAUGUAGACCCAGAAGGUAAAUUAUGUUGUGGUCGAAUGUGCAGUCUGCACCGUAACUACAAACGAAUUCAAAUUGAUGGUGCAUUUUUUAGUUAACAUUGCACACACAAUUUUUUGGAUGCUUUAAUGGCAUUAACUGCCUCCAUCUACGCCUUGUCAUCACCUUCUUUGGUUAAGUUCACAGAGGGAAAUAUAAUUUGACAAUUUCUCCAAGUCUUAGUUAAUGUUUUAUAUGAGAGUUUGUCAUUCUAAUUUUAGUUGAAAUUCAGUAUUUGCUGUUGUGUUUGAAGGGUCUUAAUAACCCAAUAUCGAUUUGAGGGCUGAGGGACAAUUGAAGAGCUUCCAACUGCUCGUUCAUUUGUUUUGUGCUCAUUUAAGUUUGUUUACAUAGUAACCUAAUAAAAUAAAAAUUGCAUUCUUAUCACAAGUGAGAAGUUUUAUAUGUGAGGACAGCCUGUCAGGUGUGUUUGAUUGAUGUAAUAGUCAUAUUGAGGAAUUCAUGUUGGGGUUUUCAACGCCAUUUACUCAAUCGAGUUGAGGAGAAAGAUAAUUUGGAGGUGCCAGAGUUUAGAGUAAUCCAUGGAGGCAGGAACAACAAAUAUGAGUUGCUUAGUGUUUGAGAGAAACUAGUGUUUGUAACGUACUGGCCUACAAGUUUUCAGUUGGAGAGUUUUGGGUACAUAUUCUUUUACAGUGGGUUAGUUGGUGUCUCUUAACCAAUGGUUAGUGUCUUGAAGUUGAAUCCAGCAAAUUUAUAUAUGCCAAUUUAGUAAUUUACCAAUUUGUGUUUAUUUGUUCUAUGUUGCAUCCUCAAUUGCCAAAGCAUCCGUCUUAACUACUAAUAGAAUAGAUGAAUUAUAUCAAAUAUAUACUCUUGGUAAUCUCAUGAUUAAGGGAUGAUCUAAAUUUUUCGUUUUGUCCUCAUGCUUCUUUUUUCUGUUUGUAAACGUCAUUUAUGUUCGUCACUCGUCAAAACUAAUAUGAAGCUUGACAUGUUUAAGGUAAUGUAGUAGGAUAACUAAGCUGCAGGCUGUAACAUAUUGGUAUCAGCUGCCUUCUUGUUAUGGGUAGAACUAGAACCUGUAGAGGGAAUAGACGGCGUGGUUGACAGCAAGAUUCCAGGAUGCAAAACAUCUCUGGCAGAACACAGUGUUUUGGGCUAGGUUUUUAUCGUAAAGUUUGUGUUACAGAAUACACAAAGAAGAUAUCAGAUGCAACUAGCCUCUACCUUUGCCAAAGGUAGAUUGAUUUUUAUUUUCUCAGUGUAUUGGAAGUCAAGUAAAAAAGACUUGUCUUAUGAUCCAUGGAAAUAAAAAUGCUGGUGCCUGGCAAUUUCUUAUUUGUUAUUUUCUUUAUGAAUCGGGUACUACAAUAAUGAGUUUACGUUGGUGAUUUGAUUGGAAGUCUUUGAUGCUUCUUUGGUUUUAUGAUGUUGCCUGUAUUCUUAGAAAUUUGCUAGUUAGAUUCCCCUAGUAAAGGGUGUUCCAGGAAUGCAGAGACUUUUCAGCAUCUCCAUUUUCAUUUUAAAAAUUUAGCUCAUGUAACCCAUGGAAACAUGGGUUAGCAGUGAAUUGUAGAACACUCGUGUAUCUUUUGUUGGAAAACAGCACUUCAAUGUAAGAACACAUCCAGCCUCUCCUUUAUCGCCUGUUCAGCUUACUCUACCUCUUAGUCUCGUUUUCUCACCAACUUGUGCCAUCCUAAGACCUAAGGUUUCUUUCCUCUUUUUGCCAAAUGGCACUAGACUUUUCUUUACUUCACAUAACCUGAACAAAAUUUCUACUUCCUUAUCCUCCCCCACUACACCCGGCUUAAUGUCCCUGUUUUCAAAUAGUGGCUCCCGCUAAACUAGCUGUUACUUAUUUCUUACUAAUUCCCUGGUUUCUCAACCUGCAUCAAUGCCUCUGUUUAGUGACUAAACCAGCUGUCACAACAAGCUCUUUUGCCUCUAUUCUAUCUCCUUCAUCAUUAAGGUGGUAUUACGUGUACAAAUUAAUGUAGUAGCUUUUUGUCUUGUGUGGCAUGGGAGGAAGUUGCAGCCCGUACACCUUCAUAUUUUUCCAAUUGUCAAUAUUUUUACCAUCUAUAUUACUUUUGCUAGUCAUGGUGCUUAAAAAUGCUGCCCAGAAUGUUGUAAUCUGUUAUAUUCUGAUCGGUACUGGGAUGAUGUUUUCAUAUUGAGCAUUGUCCUUGUAUUGGGUGUGAAGUUAGAAGUCUAGCAACGAUAACCGAUAGCAAAUAAAAUGUUGAAGGAUCUUUGGGCAGAAGACAAAGCAUGACAUGAGAAGUGUGCAUGGCUUUAUAAUAGUGGAUUGCAAUGUGCAGCAAGGGAAGGGAUUUUGUUGCAUGCCGUUUCAUGUGUAGUUAUAGCCAGCUGUGGUGUAUUAGUUACUUACUAAAUACUUAGUAAUUAAUUGUAGUUAGCUUUUAUGAAUGUAUUGCAUGAGGUGUGGUUGUUUGUAGCCCUAUAAAACAACCCGUUUCAGUUCCCAUUAUAGGCAUAUUUGGCAAUACUAUCUUUCUACCUUCCAUUUUCAUUCUUGGAUAGCUAAUAAUCCCCGAGUUAAUCCCUACAAUUUCCUUCUUGAGCACUGCUGUUUGUGGAUGAUUCAUUAUACCGGCAUCAUCUGUUAUCAGAGCAAGAAUUUACUUGGCCAUAAUUUAUGGUGAAAACAAACAAAAAUUACAGAUAAGGCAGCCAUGGAAAUGAAGACAUUCAAGGAGCUGCAGAGAGAUUCUUCAAUGAACUGAAGUCAAGGCAAGAUAAAUUGGUGGGAUCCGCAAAGGUGAUGGACAAAGGAAAGGAUAACAUUGGGCAUGCCUGCCCCUGGUACCAACCUAUGAAUGGGUUCAAUUCAAAUACCAAACCUCACUUCGCCUCGAAUUUCCUAAAUUCUCAGGAACCGACCUCAAUUCCUGGUUAUACAAGGUAGACCAAAUUUUCUUUGAUUGAUGACUGUCAUCUUUGUUUCAAAAGCAAAUGUAGUUACACUACUUUUAUGGAGAUUCCAUCCAGCAGCAUCAAGCUUACUGUUGUGGGAAAAUGCAUCUUUACGUGAGAGGUUUAUGUCCUGGCUCUUGUUGAAAGGUUAGAGUUAAACAGGAGGAUCACAUGGCUGAGCUCAAACAGCUCAAGCAGACACAGAGGGCGUAAUGCAUUAUCAAGCUUCGUUUAAUAGUAUAUAACAGCGCAUCCCAAUCCAAAUUAUUCAAGAAGCAAACAUCAUUCCUCUCUGCUCCUAACAGAAGGUACACUUGACUUUCCACUCGUAUGACUCUUACUAUUGUCGAAAGUGUGAUAGAAGGUCCUAAGAAUUAUAUCAUUUUUCCUAUGAAUCCUUUACUCCUGAGAAAAAACGUAUGAUGCAUAAAUAGUUACAUAUAUAACUCUUAAGAAAUGUCGUAUGCAGUCUCAUAAGACAAGCAUUGCAGACAAAUUUAUGAAAAUUUCUGGUUUCAGAGUUAUGAAUAUUCUCAUAAUCCUUUCUUGUCUUAUGAAAAUUUCUUGUUUAUCUUAGAUUACAGUUUGGUUCCUUUCAAUGAUAACUAUCUCAAUUCAUUAAAAAUUUAUGCUUAGGUCAUGGUGAUCCUAUAAAAGUUCAUACCAUACCAUCCUCUCAAGCAACUCAAACCGUUGGUAAAUUUUAUGUUAUGUAAUAUUUCCGUAUAAGGUAUUACUCUUCUAAGAUCUACGAACAAUGAAUUGCAAAGAAACCUAAAGAUGACAACUAAAACAAACAGAAACAGUAGAUAUCCUUAGAAUAUGACAUAAAAAGGCUUUGGUAAAUAAUUGAAUAAUUUAAUAGAGUUGAACCUAGUCUUUCUUGUCCAUAUUGGAAUAUUCUUUGACCUAGCUAAUGGAGCAUUUGCCUGCAGAACAAUCCAAGAGCUGAAGCAUCAUAUGAAUAUUAAGGAAUCUGCUCAAAUUCUGUACCGACACCAUCCCAAACAAAAAUCUAUGCAUCAAAUUCGUUUCUUCUUUGUCAAUGGAUGCUGAAUUUCAGCUGUCUCUUCUUUGUUUAUCCUUGAGUUCAUCCCAUUUGGUGCUGGAAAAAGGAUAUAUAUAUAUAUAUGUCAUUUUGGUGUAGCAAAUAUUGAGCUUCCUCUUGCCAUUUUGAUUGGAAACUUCCUUAUGGCAUGAAACAUGGAUAUGACACAGGAAUUUCGUUUGACUGUGGGCAGAAAACUAUUGUAGCUUUCAUAAUAGAUACUAGUAUGACUUUUCGUUU